rnacentral:rRNA from 1 species
UACGGAGGGGGCUAGCGUUGUUCGGAAUUAUUGGGAGUAAAGUGUACGUAGGCGGCUUUGUAAGUUAGAGGUGAAAGCCCAGGGCUUAACCCUGGAAUUGCCUUUAAGACUGCAUCGCUAGAAUCGUGGAGAGGUAAGUGGAAUUCCGAGUGUAGAGGUGAAAUUCGUAGAUAUCGGGAGGAACACCGGUGGCGAAGGCGGCCUACUGGACAGCACCUGACACUGAGACGCGAAAGCGUGGGUAGCAAACAGG